rnacentral:rRNA from 1 species
AUUCCGGUUGAUCCUGCCGGAGGCCAUUGCUAUCGGAGUCCGAUUUAGCCAUGCUAGUUGCACGAGUUCAGACUCGUAGCAUAUAGCUCAGUAACACGUGGCCAAACUACCCUACAGACCGCAAUAACCUCGGGAAACUGAGGCCAAUAGCGGAUAUAACUCUCAGG